AGAACGACUCUCGGCAACGGAUAUCUCGGCUCUCGCAUCGAUGAAGAACGUAGCGAAAUGCGAUACUUGGUGUGAAUUGCAGAAUCCCGUGAACCAUCGAGUCUUUGAACGCAAGUUGCGCCCGAAGCCAUCAGGSCGAGGGCACGUCUGCCUGGGCGUCACAC
rnacentral:rRNA from 1 species